rnacentral:rRNA from 1 species
GCUGGCGGCGUGCCUAACACAUGCAAGUCGUGCGAGAAAACCCCUUCGGGGGCGAGUACAGCGGCGGACGGGUGAGUAACACGUGAGCGAUCUACCCGACAGUGGGGGAUAACCCAGGGAAACCUAAGCUAAUACCGCAUGUUGCGCCGGCUUGGAAGCCGAGCGUUAAAGCGGGCCUCUCUUUGAAGCUCGUGCUGUCGGAUGGGCUCGCGGCCUAUCAGCUUGUUGGUGGGGUAACGGCCUACCAAGGCGAUGACGGGUAGCUGGCGUGAGAGCGCGACCAGUCACACUGGGACUGAGACACGGCCCAGACUCCUACGGGAGGCAGCAGUGGGGAAUAUUGCGCAAUGGGCGAAAGCCUGACGCAGCGACGCCGCGUGGGGGAGGAAGGCCUCAGGGUUGUAAACCCCUGUCAGGUGGGACGAACCCCGGAUCGAGUAAUACACGGUCCGACUGACGGUACCACCAGAGGAAGCUCCGGCUAACUCCGUGCCAGCAGCCGCGGUAAUACGGAGGGAGCUAGCGUUGUUCGGAAUUACUGGGCGUAAAGGGCGCGUAGGCGGUCUUGUAAGUCGGGUGUGAAAUUCCGGGGCUCAACCCCGAGAACUGCAUCCGAUACUGCUCGACUUGA